rnacentral:tRNA from 1 species
GGUGGCUCAGAGGUAAAGUACUUGCCUUGCAUGCAUGAGGCCCUGGGUUCGAUUCCUCAGCACCA